GACAUAGGUGGCGAACGUUAUCCGGAAUUAUUGGGCGUAAAGGGUGCGUAGAUGGUUUUAAAAGCUAUUAGUAGAAAACUAAGGCCUAACCUUAGGAAAGCUAGUAAUACUAUAAGGCUAGAGUGCAGGAGAAGUUAACGGAAUUCCUUGUGGAGCGGUGAAAUGCGUAGAUAUCGGGAGGAACACCUGAGGCGAAGGCGGGCUACUGGGCCGAUACUGACGCUGAGGCGCGAAAGCCAGGGGAGCAAACGGG
rnacentral:rRNA from 1 species